GAUGAACGCUGGCGGCGUGCUUAACACAUGCAAGUCGAACGAUGAAGCCCAGCUUGCUGGGUGGAUUAGUGGCGAACGGGUGAGUAACACGUGAGCAACCUGCCCCUGACUCUGGGAUAAGCGCUGGAAACGGCGUCUAAUACUGGAUAUGUCCCGUCACCGCAUGGUGUGCGGGUGGAAAGAUUUUUCGGUUGGGGAUGGGCUCGCGGCCUAUCAGCUUGUUGGUGAGGUAAUGGCUCACCAAGGCGUCGACGGGUAGCCGGCCUGAGAGGGUGACCGGCCACACUGGGACUGAGACACGGCCCAGACUCCUACGGGAGGCAGCAGUGGGGAAUAUCGCACAAUGGGCGGAAGCCUGAUGCAGCAACGCCGCGUGAGGGAUGACGGCCUUCGGGUUGUAAACCUCUUUUAGCAGGGAAGAAGCGAAAGUGACGGUACCUGCAGAAAAAGCACCGGCUAACUACGUG
rnacentral:rRNA from 1 species